GCAAAAUUGAGAAUUUUAUAAAGCUGUAGGACAGAUUCCAUAGGGCCUUACAUUAAGUCAGUGCUAAAAGCUAACUGGAAAUAUUUAAAUAUAACGUU